AGGAGGAACAACCCCAGUGGCGGGGCCAGCUCUGGAGCCCUGGAUUCAGCUCCCGCAGGAACUCCGGAGCUCUCCGUCUGCAGGGCCUGGAGGCUCCGGGGCGGG
rnacentral:pre_miRNA from 1 species